UACAGAGGUCCCAAGCGUUGUUCGGAUUCAUUGGGCGUAAAGGGUGCGUAGGCGGCGCGGUAAGUCGGGUGUGAAAUCUCGGAGCUUAACUCCGAAACUGCAUUCGAUACUGCCGUGCUUGAGGACUGGAGAGGAGACUGGAAUUUACGGUGUAGCGGUGAAAUGCGUAGAUAUCGUAAGGAAGACCAGUGGCGAAGGCGGGUCUCUGGGCAUCUCCUGACGCUGAGGCGACGAAAGCGUGGGGAGCGAACAGG
rnacentral:rRNA from 1 species